rnacentral:ncRNA from 1 species
CCUAGAAUGGCCAGUGUCGGUGUUCCCACGGAACUUAAUAGAGAAUCCGCCGCGGCUUGCCGCGAACCGGAACUGCCCCCGCAACUGUAGGCGGCGAGCGAUGCUCUUUGAUGCCACUGGACACAGAGUCUGGGAAGGCGAGCUAGCCAUGACCCGUCAGUCAGGAGAACUGCCGAUAUAUUACUUACAUCG